CGUAGGGUGCAAGCGUUAAUCGGAAUUACUGGGCGUAAAGCGUGCGCAGGCGGCUUUGCAAGACAGAUGUGAAAUCCCCGGGCUCAACCUGGGAACUGCAUUUGUGACUGCAAGGCUGGAGUACGGUAGAGGGGGAUGGAAUUCCGCGUGUAGCAGUGAAAUGCGUAGAUAUGCGGAGGAACACCGAUGGCGAAGGCAAUCCCCUGGACCUGUACUGACGCUCAUGCACGAAAGCGUGGGGAGCAAACAGGAUUAGAUACCCUGGUAGUCCACGCCCUAAACGAUGUCAACUGGUUGUUGGGUCUUUACUGACUCAGUAACGAAGCUAACGCGUGAAGUUGACCGCCUGGGGAGUACGGCCGCAAGGUUG
rnacentral:rRNA from 1 species